CCUACGGGAGACUGCAGUGAGGAAUAUUGGUCAAUGGACGCAAGUCUGAACCAGCCAUGCCGCGUGCAGGAAGACGGCUCUAUGGUUGGUAAACUUCUUUUAUAUGGGAAUACAGUGAGGAACGUGUUCCUUUUUGUAUGUACCAUAUGAAUAAGCAUCGGCUAACUCCGUGCCAGCAGCCGCGGUAAUACGGAGGAUGCGAGCGUUAUCCGGAGUUAUUGGGUUUAAAGGGUGCGUAGGUGGUUAAUUAAGUCAGCGGUGACAGUUUGUGGCUCAACCAUAAAAUUGCCGUUGAAACUGGUUGACUUGAGUAUAUUUGAGGUAGGAGGAAGGCGUGGUGUAGCGGUGAAAUGCAUAGAUAUCACGAAGAACUCCGAUUGCGAAGGCAGCUUACUAAACUAUAACUGACACUGAAGCACGAAAGCGUGGGGAUCAAACAGGAUUAGAUACCCGGGUAGUC
rnacentral:rRNA from 1 species